rnacentral:rRNA from 1 species
AUGGAGGAGGGAGGCUUCCAGGUCCAGCCCGGUACCUCUGUGAGGUUCACGGCGUCACCGGAGAGCCCAGACAUCGACUGGGACGGCCUAGAUCUGGUACCUCUCCCCGGCGACAUCUCGUGGCCUGAAGUGGGGAUCGACGCGUCAAGCUUGUUUGCUUCUUCCUCCAUCUUCCUCUCAGAUGGCACAACCACCACGGCUGCUACAAACACCUUCUUGAGUCCACCAAACACCUGCUCGAGUCAACCUGGUACCCGUGUGGCAGUGGCACACACCAUGGCGUCCGAAGGUGCGAUGGUUGACUUGGAUGAGCUGCUCUCCGGCGACGACCCCUGGCUUCAAGUGGCGACCAUCGCUUCAAGCUCAACCAGCUUCUUUGAUUCUCCCUCCACCUUCCCCUCAGAUGCCACAACCAACAGGGGCACGCUCUCAUUCUCUCCUGGAGCGGCCGUUGACUCGGAUCAUGUCCUCGAGCAGCCGCUCUUUCUCUCUCCGGCGACAACCCCGGCCUGGCUUCAUUUCGCGACCGACGCUUCCAGCUGCUCUCCCAGCUCCUUUGCUUCUCCCUCCACCUUCCUCUUAGAUGCCACAACAGACAGCUCGGUGCCUGCAAGUAGAAACACUUGCUUGAUCCAGACCAGCAUCCCCGUGCCGCGCACCACCUUGUCCCAAUGUGUGGCCGACGACUUGGAUCUCCCGGAGCAGCUGCUCCCCGACGACAAACCCUGGUUUGGAGUAGCGCCCAACACUUCAAGAUCUCCCAACUUCUUCGCCACUCCCUCCAUCUUCCCCUCGGAUGCCAAAUCCACCAUGGUCACCGUCCGGGAACGGCUUACGCAAGCACUAGCCUACAUUGAGGAGAUGCAAAGAGACAAACAUGUGCUUCUCCAGGUAUGGGUGCCGACCAUGAGUUACGGUCAGUUGGUGCUGACGACGAGGGGGAUGCCAUUCACGCUCAACAAGAGCUCGGAGAGGCUCGUGCAGUUCAGGGACGUAUCGACGCGGUACCAGUUGUCUGCAGAUGUUGCGUCGAAGGGCUCACCUGUGGGGCUCCCAGGGAGGGUCUUCAUCGGCAAGCUCCCCGAGUGGUCUCCAGACGUUCGGUACUUUACCAGCUAUGAGUAUCCUAUGGUGGCCCAUGCGCAAUAUUUGGACGUCCACGGGACGAUGGGUCUGCCGGUGUUCGAGAAGGGGAACCCCUCGUGCUUGGGUGUCAUUGAGUUGAUCAUGACCAGGCAGAAGCUCAAUUUCACCUCUGAGAUCAAUAACAUCUGCAGUGCUCUCCAGGCGGUUAACCUGAGGUCCUCAGAAGUUUCAAGCAUUCCACGCGCAAAGUUCAGUAGUGCCUCAUACAAAGACGCUCUACCGGAGAUAUUGGAAGUCUUAAGAGCCGCCUGCGUCACCCACAAUCUACCAUUAGCACAAACAUGGGCCACCUGUGCUCAACAGUGGAAACGGGGCAGUCGCCACUCAGAUGAGAACUACCAGCACUGCAUCUCUACCAUUGACGCAGCUUGCUACGUGAACGACCCUCAGAUGCAGAAUUUCCAUGAUUCCUGCUCCGAUCACCACCUUCUGCUCAAGCAAGGGGUUGCAGGGAAAGCCUUCACCACGAACCAGCCGUGCUUCCUACCAGACAUUGGAUCUUCAGCUAAACCGGAUUACCCAUUAUGUCACCAUGCUAAGAUCUUCAAUUUAAAAGGUGCAGUGGCGAUCCGGUUAAGAUGCACACGCACUGGGACGGCGGACUUCGUGCUGGAGUUCUUCCUGCCGACGGACUGUGAAGCACUCGAGGAGCAGAAGGCAGUGUUGGACACCUUGUCGGGAACCAUGCAAAAUGUUUGCCAAACACUACGCACGGUUACAGACAAGGAGCUGGAGGACGACGCGAUGAAGCCCAACUCAUUUGGCGGUCUUCAGAUGAACAAGAAGGCGAAUAAAAGAAAACCGAUGGCACCAAGAUCAACCGUGUGGAAAAGCUUUACAAAGGUCAUGGUUGGAGAUACUGUCAAGGCUAAGUGCAACUAUUGUGGUGAAAACUAUUGCUGUGAAUCGAAAAACGGUACAUCCUCAUUGAUAUCUCACUUGAAAAGGUGCAAACUUAAUCCCAAUAAGUCGUCCGUAGGGGUAUGUAUAUACGUAUAG